GCGCGGUUGAUCUUCUUUUGAUUAGGGUUGAGCGGGAAGUUCCCCUGCAAUGCCCUAAUUUCACAGACCGCUGUAUUUAAAUGCCAGUGCCAAUGUUCUAGCAGCAUCGCUCGAGAUCCAGUGGCUGAGGGGUUUAUGCAUGCUUAGUAGAAACAAGGAUGAGCUCCUAUUAAGUUGCUGUCUGGUGAGGUCAGAUGUUACAAGUUUCCAGUAUUAAGGCAUGGUUUGAGGAAGAGAUGAACAUGUGGCUGUAAUUCCUUCUCGCAUAAACUCUACAUGCGAUGGCAUAUAUCCUUGUCUGAAAGGCAAGUGCUUUCCCUUCUUACACGGGAACCUUUGGAGCUCAUUGUCUGAUUUUGUGGCCCUCUAUGUAAAUAAGCUAUAUGCAGACUGACUUCAAACCAUUAUUUUGGUUCAGGUAAGGUCACUUCAGCUCUAGAAUAAGAACAAACCACAUUAUUGUUCCUCAGAAGCUCUAAUUUUUGAGCAUUUAUUCAAUAGAGAAAUCAAAUGAAACCCAAUUCAGGGGAUGGAUUUUUUGUUUGGAAGAUAAAUAAACGAAGUUCCUCUACUCAGAAGAUAA